CAGAGCAACAGAGCAACAGAGCAAGGUGGAGGAGAGAAGCCCUCCUGGUACCCAUCCCCACACCAGCAAGAGGGAGCGCCAGACUCACAGCCUCCCAUCCCCUCCAGCCCCAGCCCACCUGACCUACAUCAGCCACCUUCUGAUUGAUUCUGUUUUUUCCUGGGGAAAAGGCCAAAAAGCCAUCUAGGCCUCAACCCCAGCAUCUCUGAACCUCUGACCCAGCCCUGGACUUCCAAAUUUCAGACUUCUUUCAGCUCCUGCUUCUUCGUCACAGGUACACCAGGGCAUCCAGCACAUUGAUUUGUCCCCACUCGCCUUAGCCUGUCUCCUGCCACAGUUGUCUCAUUUUGGUGAAGUGCGUGUCCAGAUUUCCCCAUGCUCCCAGCUGCAACAUGGAUCUGUGAAAGACAGUACAGCAGAAAAGUAUUCACAUCCUGGCUCUCUCUGCCCUUCAUUGUCUUUAAGCUCUUUAACAACUUUUACUUGGAGAGGAAAACAACUAUCUAGACAGGAACACGGAGCAGCAGAGGGAGAAAUUGUGUCUUUACUGAUUUCAGUCAAUUAUUGCAGUGACCACAUGUCUCAGGAGUGUUGAUGUCCAGAUGAGGGCUGACCCAUGAAAGGUCAGCAAGGAAAAAGGAGGACCUAAACUUUCCUCGGUUUGCAAGUUGUAAAAGACCCAUGGAAUGCCAACUAUCCUUGUCCAUGGACAUGUGGACAGACUGUCCAGUGGCUAUCAUCAAUUUUGCAUCUAUUUGUAAAUUCUAUGUCAGCAUUCCUAUUGUCCUAGCUAUGCGUGGCAUUUUUAAUUCUCCUUUGGGCUGGUUGUAGCAUCUUACUGGUUCCCUCAUUAAUUAAUGAACUAAAUAAAAUCUUUGACAUGUGUUCAUUUUACAUUUGUGUAAGAGUCAUGAUUUUACCUUUAAAAAAAAAAGUCAUUUUACAGGUCUCAGGAGAGAGGCAGCUGCAUCAACAAACACAAGGACUAGCUCUCCUCUAGAGAAUUCACAGCUGAAGGGUAGAUUAAACGCACCCUUUGCCUUUCCCACCUUUCAUUCCCUUUACCGUAUCUAGCAGCCAGAUGGAAUGCAUUGCAGAAGGAACAGUGGAGAAGCAUACACACACAGCACUUGCCUGGGAGGGUCCCCUAGAGCAGCUGGGAUCUCUAUGCCCCCACCUCCACCUUUUAAUCUCAUGGUUUCUUGGCCUCUUCUCUCCCUUUCACACCCAUCUAGAGAUGACUUGAAGAGGCUCUGGCUUCCCCUUGGCCACUCUCAGCUGUCUUCCCAACUCCCGCCUGAUCUUCACACUGGCAGUUAUUGUCUUCUCAAUCCUACACAAAGUCUAUGCCAGCACAGCCUCCCAGCCCACUUCCCACUCCAACAGCCAUCACACGAAGACAUUCUGGAGUUAUCACUCCAUCCAUGAGGAGCUGCCUACCAGUCCUUAGAAAGAAAGGGAAAGUCUGCUUCCAAACAUGAGAAGGGGUUAGACCAAGGGCUACCUCCUGGCCAGGUGAUGGAGGACUGGAGAAGCCAGAUUAAGCCAGAUUUCUGCCAAUCCAAGCAAAAGGCAGGUGGCCAAGCAGCUGCAGGGAAGAAAAUAUGUUUUUUCCUCACCCAUUACGAGGGUCAUAGCUGAGGCACCUAUGGCAAAAUACAGAUUAACAAGAGAAACAUCAAACUUAUUUAAUUUAAAUUUUAUGUAACAUAAGACACCUCAGGAAAAAAGAUCCAAAGAGGCUGGGCACAGUGGCUCAUGCAUGCAAUCCCAGCAGUUUAGGAGACUGAGGCAGGUGGAUCACGUGAGGUCAGGAAUUUGAGACCAGCCUGGCCAACAUGGUGAAACACCGUCUCUACAAAAAUUUAAAAAUUAGCCGGGUAUGAUGGCGGGCACCUGUAAUCCCAGCUACUCGGGAGGCUAUGGUGGGAGAAUUGCUGGAGCCCAGAAGGCAGAGGUUGCAGCGAGCCAAGAUCACGCCAUUGCACUCCAGCCUGGGUGACAGAACAAGACUCCAUCUUAAAAAAAAAAGAAAGAAAGAAAGAAAGAAAAAGAUAAAGAAAUAGGGAAUAGGGACACCUGUGUGUUUUUAUUGUAAGUUUGAUGGAGAAGUCGAUAGUAGUGGAGAAGUGUGAUUGGACAAAGAGAGUAUGAUCUAAUUAGUUAUAUACAAGGGGGAACUCAGCAAGGCCUGUUUGUUCAGCUUUUCUUCUGCAUCCCUGUGUCUUCAGAGAUAAAGACGUUCCUCCCCUCCAGGUAAAGAGUGGGCACCUCUCACACAAGGACCUUAUGCCUUGCUCCAGGAGAAAGUCAGCUUGGUUUCAUGGCCUGCUUCAGGAAAAGAAGGGCAAGGAGAAGGUGAGAGAGGCCUUCCUGCUUCUGCCGUUUUCUCCAAUGCCAAUCUGCCAUAUUUUGGGGUAGUAUUCCCUGAACCCCACCACAGCCUCAGAGAGUGGGGCUUUGCCCAAGGGUGAGUUGCAGCACUCUGCCAGGUGUUUCAAACAGCAGAGGUUAGUUACGGGGUAUUGAUUCAAAAUAGCUACCACGCAUGAGCUUGUCACCCUGCACCAACUCAUCCUGUGCAGUUACCACUACUGUUAACUCUGACCUAGGAUUUGUAGUUCAUUCGGGAUGUCAUGCAUGCUUCAGAUCUCAGGCCCUAGUGACCUCACCUAUAAAUUUGGUGUGGGCAGUGAUAGGCCUGGAUGACCCUCAG
rnacentral:lncRNA from 1 species